rnacentral:rRNA from 1 species
GACGGAGGGGGCAAGCGUUGUCCGGAUUUAUUGGGCGUAAAGAGCGUGUAGGCGGCCUGACAGGUCUGCUGUGAAAACUCGAGGCUCAACCUCGAGAUGUCGGCGGAAACCGUCUGGCUAGAGUCCGGAAGAGGAGAGUGGAAUUCCUGGUGUAGCGGUGAAAUGCGCAGAUAUCAGGAAGAACACCUAUGGCGAAGGCAGCUCUCUGGGACGGUACUGACGCUGAGACGCGAAAGCGUGGGGAGCGAACAGG